rnacentral:misc_RNA from 1 species
GAUGAAGAACGUAGCAAAAUGCGAUACUUGGUGUGAAUUGCAGAAUCCCGUGAACCAUCGAGUUUUUGAACGCAAGUUGCGCCCGAAGCCUUUUGGCCGAGGGCACGUCUGCCUGGGCGUCACGCAUCGCGUCGCCCCCCACAAUUCUCCGUAAAGGGAACGUGUGUUUUGGGGGCGGAUAUUGGUCUCCCGUGCUCAUGGCGUGGUUGGCCGAAAUAGGAGUCCUUUCGAUGGACGCACGAACUAGUGGUGGUCGUAAAAACCCUCGUCUUUUGUUUCGGGCUGUUGCUCGCAAGGUAAACUCUUUAAAAACCCCAAUGUGUCGUCUCUUGACGACGCUUCGACCGCGACCCCAGGUCAGGCGGGACUACCCGCUGAGUUUAAGCAUAUCAAUAAGCGGAGGA